CCUUCGGGUGAAGGUGGCGGACGGGUGAGUAACGCGUAGAGAACUUGCCUUACAGACUGGGACAACAUUUGGAAACGAAUGCUAAUACCGGAUAUUAUGACUGAGUCGCAUGAUUUGGUUAUGAAAGCUAUAUGCGCUGUGAGAGAGCUUUGCGUCCCAUUAGUUAGUUGGUGAGGUAACGGCUCACCAAGACGAUGAGUGGGUAGCCGGCCUGAGAGGGUGAACGGCCACAAGGGGACUGAGACACGGCCCUUACUCCUACGGGAGGCAGCAGUGGGGAAUAUUGGACAAUGGACCAAAAGUCUGAUCCAGCAAUUCUGUGUGCACGAUGAAGUUUUUCGGAAUGUAAAGUGCUUUCAGUUGGGAAGAAGUCAGUGACGGUACCAACAGAAGAAGCGAGGUAAAUACGUGCCAGCAGCCGCGGUAAUACGUAUGUCGCAAGCGUUAUCCGGAUCUAUUGGGCGUAAAGCGCGUCUAGGCGGUUAAGUAAGUCUGAUGUGAAAAUGCGGGGCUCAAACCCGUAUUGCGUUGGAAACUGGUAAAUAAAGUACUGGAAGGUAGGCGGAACUACAAGUGUAAGGUGAAAUUCGUAGAUAUUUGUAGAAUGCCGAUGGGGAAGCCAGCCUACUGGACAGAUACUGACGCUAAAGCGCGAAAGCGUGGGUAGCAAACAGGAUUAGAUACCCUGGUAGUCCACGCCGUAAACGAUGAUUACUAGGUGUUGGGGGGGUCGAACCUCAGCGCCCAAGCUAACGCGAUAAGUAAUCCGCCUGGGGAGUACGUACGCAAGUAUG
rnacentral:rRNA from 1 species